GAUGAACGCUGGCGGCGUGCCUAAUACAUGCAAGUCGAGCGAACGGACGAGAAGCUUGCUUCUCUGAUGUUAGCGGCGGACGGGUGAGUAACACGUGGAUAACCUACCUAUAAGACUGGGAUAACUUCGGGAAACCGGAGCUAAUACCGGAUAAUAUUUUGAACCGCAUGGUUCAAAAGUGAAAGACGGUCUUGCUGUCACUUAUAGAUGGUUCCGCGCUGCAUUAGCUAGUUGGUAAGGUAACGGCUUACCAAGGCAACGAUGCAUAGCCGACCUGAGAGGGUGAUCGGCCACACUGGAACUGAGACACGGUCCAGACUCCUACGGGAGGCAGCAGUAGGGACUCUUCCGCAAUGGGCGAAAGCCUGACGGAGCAACGCCGCGUGAGUGAUGAAGGUCUUCGGAUCGUAAAACUCUGUUAUUAGGGAAGAACAUAUGUGUAAGUAACUGUGCACAUCUUGACGGUACCUAAUCAGAAAGCCACGGCUAACUACGUG
rnacentral:rRNA from 1 species